UACGAAGGGAGCUAGCGUUGUUCGGAAUCACUGGGCGUAAAGCGCACGUAGGCGGAUGUGUCAGUCAGGGGUGAAAUCCCGGAGCUCAACUUCGGAACUGCCUUUGAUACAGCACGUCUUGAGUCCGGAAGAGGUGGGUGGAAUUCCUAGUGUAGAGGUGAAAUUCGUAGAUAUUAGGAAGAACACCGGUGGCGAAGGCGGCGACCUGGUCCAAUAUUGACACUCAUACACGAAAGCGUGGGGAUCAAACAGG
rnacentral:rRNA from 1 species